UGGGGAAUAUUGCACAAUGGGCGCAAGCCUGAUGCAGCGACGCCGCGUGGGGGAUGACGGCCUUCGGGUUGUAAACCUCUUUCGGCAGGGACGAAGCCUUUGGGUGACGGUACCUGCAGAAGAAGCGCCGACCAACUACGUGCCAGCAGCCGCGGUAAGACGUAGGGCGCGAGCGUUGCCCGGAUUUAUUGGGCGUAAAGAGCUCGUAGGCGGCUUGUUGCGUCGUCCGUGAAAACUUGGGGCUUAACCUCAAGCUUGCGGUCGAUACGGGCAGGCUGGAGUUCGGUAGGGGAGACUGGAAUUCCUGGUGUAGCGGUGAAAUGCGCAGAUAUCAGGAGGAACACCGGUGGCGAAGGCGGGUCUCUGGGCCGAUACUGACGCUGAGGAGCGAAAGCGUGGGGAGCGAA
rnacentral:rRNA from 1 species